CUUCGUUAUAAGGAAAAAACAAUCACGAGUUACCUCUUUGCAUGCCUAUCAUCAUGUAAUUAUGGCAAUAACAUGUUGGGCAUAUUUAAAAUUUAUAAAAGGUGAACAAUUACUUUUCGGUGGUCUUCUUAAUUCAUUUAUCCAUGUUAUUAUGUAUAGCUACUACUUCUUAUCAGCAUUAGGACCUCAUAUGCAAAAAUAUUUGUGACGGAAAAAGUAUUUGACUCGUAUGCAAAUUGUUUAAUUUCUUAUAAUAAUGACAUAUGAAGCAGGAUUGUAUGUGUUUGAUUGCAAGU